GUCCGCGGCCGCAAUGACCCAGGCGGAGAAGGGGGACGGAGAGAACGGGAAGGAGAAGAGCGGGGAGAAGGAGAAGGAGAAGGAGCAGCGCGGCGUGAAAAGGCCCAUCGUGCCCGCGCUAGUGCCGGAGUCGCUGCAGGAGCAAAUCCAGAGCAACUUCAUUGUUGUCAUACAUCCAGGUUCAACAACCUUAAGGAUUGGUCGAGCCACAGACACACUUCCUGCCAGCAUUCCUCAUGUCAUUGCACGAAGGCACAAACAACAAGGGCAGCCGCUAUAUAAGGACAGCUGGCUCCUAAGGGAAGGACUAAAUAAACCAGAAAGUAAUGAACAAAGACAAAAUGGCCUUAAAAUGGUGGAUCAAGCAAUAUGGUCUAAAAAGAUGUCAAAUGGUACAAGACGGAUUCCCGUGUCCCCUGAACAGGCGCGCUCCUACAACAAGCAGAUGCGACCUGCAAUUUUAGAUCACUGUUCUGGAAAUAAGUGGACAAACACAUCUCAUCAUCCGGAGUUUUUGGUGGGAGAAGAGGCCUUGUACGUUAAUCCAUUGGACUGUUACAAUAUUCACUGGCCUAUCAGAAGAGGUCAGUUAAAUAUUCACCCGGGACCUGGGGGCUCCCUUACUGCUGUUCUGGCAGAUAUUGAAGUAAUAUGGUCUCACGCAAUCCAAAAAUACUUGGAAAUCCCACUGAAAGAUUUAAAGUAUUAUAGAUGUAUCUUGCUAAUUCCUGAUAUCUAUAAUAAACAGCACGUGAAAGAAUUAGUGAAUAUGAUCCUAAUGAAGAUGGGUUUUUCAGGGAUUGUGGUCCAUCAGGAGUCUGUCUGUGCCACCUUCGGAAGUGGUUUAAGCAGCACAUGUAUCGUAGAUGUUGGAGACCAGAAGACAAGUGUGUGCUGUGUGGAGGAUGGGGUCUCUCAUCGGAAUACUCGCCUCUGUCUGGCCUAUGGGGGGUCUGACGUGUCAAGGUGUUUCUACUGGCUGAUGCAGCGAGCCGGGUUCCCUUACCGAGAAUGCCAGCUAACAAAUAAAAUGGAUUGUCUUCUUCUGCAGCACCUUAAAGAAACUUUCUGUCAUUUAGAUCAGGACAUCUCUGGACUUCAGGAUCAUGAGUUUCAGAUUCGCCAUCCAGAUUCUCCUGCCCUACUUUACCAGUUUCGAUUAGGAGAUGAAAAACUCCAGGCUCCAAUGGCUUUGUUUUACCCUGCAACUUUUGGAAUUGUUGGACAGAAAAUGACAACUUUGCAGCACAGAUCCCAGGGAGACCCUGAGGAUCCUCAUGAUGAGCAUUACCUGCUAGCCACGCAGAGCAAGCAGGAACAGUCUGCCAAAGCUACUGCUGACCGAAAGUCUGCGUCCAAACCCAUUGGAUUUGAGGGGGAUCUUCGUGGCCAGUCUUCUGAUCUUCCAGAAAGACUCCAUGCCCAGGAGGUGGAUUUGGGAUCCUCCCAGGGAGACUGUCUGAUGGCUGGCAAUGAAUCUGAGGAGGCUCUCACAGCACUGAUGUCCAGGAAGACUGCCAUCUCGCUAUUUGAAGGGAAAGCCCUGGGCCUGGAUAAAGCCAUUCUUCACAGCAUCGACUGCUGUUCAUCUGAUGAUACCAAAAAGAAGAUGUACAGUUCCAUCCUCGUGGUGGGAGGUGGUUUGAUGUUUCAUAAAGCUCAAGAAUUUCUGCAACAUAGAAUUCUCAACAAAAUGCCACCUUCAUUCAGGCGAAUUAUUGAGAAUGUGGAUGUGAUCACAAGGCCCAAGGACAUGGAUCCCCGGCUGAUCGCGUGGAAAGGAGGGGCCGUGCUGGCUUGUUUGGACACCACACAGGAACUGUGGAUCUACCAGAGAGAGUGGCAGCGCUUCGGUGUCCGCAUGUUACGAGAGCGAGCUGCUUUCGUCUGGUGAAAAUGGGCAGGAAGUCACUAGAAGACCAAAAACAGGCCUCCUGCACUUAUAAAUGUGAAAACUGGUCAUGCAAGUAAGCGAUCUUAACCACAUUAAACAUACUGCCUCAGCCAUUACUAAGUGCCUACUUCUGAAGUUGGACAUGUCCUUGUAGAUGCCUCAGUGGUAAAAAUGAAACCAGUGGUCGUCACCAGAUUGGGAGGUCCCCAUCCCUGCUUUGCCUUGGCAGAUGUGGCCCUGGCAUCGUUACCAGUAUUUUUGGAGAGCUCCUUGGCAUUACAUCAGGGCGACCUGACUCUUGUCCUAACACCAAAAUGUGAUUGCCUUUAAAAAAAA